AGGGCUAAGAUCAGAAAGGUCUUUUUCUUCGGGUUAUAAUGUAGGGACAUUGGUUAAGGUAGGGAAAUAUAGGCUAAGUGACUCAACAUAAUUAAGAACACCAACCUUAUAACUUCACAAAGCAAGUAUGGAAUAAAUUCCAUCUUCCACCAAACUAUGUCACCAUAAUCAACUCCAACCAAGGGAUUUAAUCAUCACAAAACAGAACUAAACACUCUUUUAUGCUCUCCAUUUAUUUCCAACAAACAAAGUCGAUUUUCUAACAAAUUUCUCAAUAAACACUCGACUUUACAUUUUUUUUCUCUUUCUUUUUCUUUUCUUUUUUUUCUCUUUUUUUUUUCUUUUCUCAACAACUUUCUAGAGCUUAUAAGAGUAAAUAGUAAUACAAUAUCAUCCCUUCUUUUUCACAACCCACUAUGAAUAUUCACCACACAAAGAUCCCCAUAUACUUCAUCACCCCUUAUCAUCCGGCUAAAGAAUAAAAGCUAAAUAGGC
rnacentral:lncRNA from 1 species